rnacentral:lncRNA from 1 species
UGUAAUGCAGGGCUUGAGGGAGUAUACAGUCAGGAGGAACUCCCGGGCUUGGGCUGAAGAGGUCCAGCCCUGGAAUUUCCUCCCCCAUUCUGGAGUCCUUCAUUUAUUUCCAUCUGCAAAGCCUCUGUACCAGUGAACCACAGGGCCAGAGUCCUGCUUUGAGACCGGGUAAGACGGAAGUGGUCACAGAACAAGGGACACCUGGGAGCCAGGGUCUCCCCUGACCGAGAUCACGCAUGCCUGUGGGGCAGGAACUCUCCUCAGACGGCUGCUAUCAUCUCUGUGUUUGGCACCAGACCUGCACCUGGCACUAAACACACCUAAACCAUGCAAUCACCUACCUUGUAUGGGGGAAUAAAGGAUUAGCCCGUUGACUGUUUCUUUCGACAGCCCUUCACCAUACCAGGAAGUCAGACUAAUUGCCUUCCACAGAUCCCUGGUCAUCAACUCCUGUUUAUCCUUUUCUCUGAGCUGGCGCAUGCCGGUAGGUAAUCUCAUCUAUAGAAGGUGGAGGCUAUACAGCGAGACCCUACCUCAACCCCUAUCUCCUACUCCAAAACUUCCAUUUGGAAAUGUCAGUCAAUUAAUAAACUUUUACCUAAAAAGCC